CAGCCGCCGCGGUAACACGGAGGGUGCAAGCGUUAAUCGGAAUUACUGGGCGUAAAGCGUGCGCAGGCGGUUUGUUAAGACAGAUGUGAAAUCCCCGGGCUCAACCUGGGAACUGCAUUUGUGACUGGCAAGCUAGAGUAUGGCAGAGGGGGGUGGAAUUCCGCGUGUAGCAGUGAAAUGCGUAGAUAUGCGGAGGAACACCGAUGGCGAAGGCAGCCCCCUGGGCCAAUACUGACGCUCAUGCACGAAAGCGUGGGGAGCAAACAGGAUUAGAUACCCGCGUAGUCCCUGUCUCUUAUAC
rnacentral:rRNA from 1 species